CUACGGGUGGCUCCAGUGAGGAAUAUUGCACAAUGGAGGAAACUCUGAUGCAGCAACGCCGCGUGGAGGAUGACGCAUUUCGGUGUGUAAACUCCUUUUAUAUGUCAAGAAAAUGACGGUAGCAUAUGAAUAAGCGCCGGCUAACUCCGUGCCAGCAGCCGCGGUAAUACGGAGGGCGCAAGCGUUACUCGGAAUCACUGGGCGUAAAGGACGCGUAGGCGGGUUAAAAAGUCGGGUGUGAAAGCCUAUGGCUCAACCAUAGAAUUGCACUUGAAACUCUUAACCUAGAGUAUGGGAGGGGCAGAUGGAAUUAGUGGUGUAGGGGUAAAAUCCGUAGAUAUCACUAGGAAUACCGAAAGCGAAGGCGAUCUGCUGGAACAUAACUGACGCUGAGGCGUGAAAGCGUGGGGAGCAAACAGGAUUAGAUACCCCGGUAGUC
rnacentral:rRNA from 1 species